rnacentral:rRNA from 1 species
UACGUAGGGUGCGAGCGUUAAUCGGAAUUACUGGGCGUAAAGCGUGCGCAGGCGGUUUGCUAAGACAGGUGUGAAAUCCCCGGGCUUAACCUGGGAACUGCGCUUGUGACUGGCAGGCUAGAGUACGGUAGAGGGGGGUGGAAUUCCUGGUGUAGCAGUGAAAUGCGUAGAUAUCAGGAGGAACACCGAUGGCGAAGGCAGCCCCCUGGGCCUGUACUGACGCUCAUGCACGAAAGCGUGGGGAGCAAACAGGAUUAGAUACCCCUGUA